ACUACCUCUAGAUGCAUUGCAGGUGUGGCCGUAUCACUUGUGUAUCAGUAUGUGGCAGAAAGGAGAGAUGAUAUUUCUAUGCUCAGUGUCUGACCUGUGAACAUCUGAAUAAUCAGCAGCCUAACAUU